ACGGGUGAGUAACACGUGGGUAACCUGCCUCAUAGAGGGGAAUAGCCUUUCGAAAGGAAGAUUAAUACCGCAUAAGAUUGUAGUGCCGCAUGGCAUAGCAAUUAAAGGAGUAAUCCGCUAUGAGAUGGACCCGCGUCGCAUUAGCUAGUUGGUGAGGUAACGGCUCACCAAGGCGACGAUGCGUAGCCGACCUGAGAGGGUGAUCGGCCACAUUGGGACUGAGACACGGCCCAGACUCCUACGGGAGGCAGCAGUGGGGAAUAUUGCACAAUGGGGGAAACCCUGAUGCAGCAACGCCGCGUGAGUGAUGACGGUCUUCGGAUUGUAAAGCUCUGUCUUCAGGGACGAUAAUGACGGUACCUGAGGAGGAAGCCACGGCUAACCACGUGCCAGCAGCCGCGGUAAUACGUAGGUGGCAAGCGUUGUCCGGAUUUACUGGGCGUAAAGGGAGCGUAGGUGGAUGUUUAAGUGGGAUGUGAAAUACUCGGGCUUAACCUGGGUGCUGCAUUCCAAACUGGAUAUCUAGAGUGCAGGAGAGGAAAGUAGAAUUCCUAGU
rnacentral:rRNA from 1 species